rnacentral:lncRNA from 1 species
UUUUUUUGCUGUGUAGAUUUUCAAAUAUCCAGGAGUAAGACAGCACACAUGAGACUUGGGUGGAUACCAGGUUUCUUUAUCUGGAGAAAAUGACAUGAGAGACUGCUAAAGGUUGGGUAUGUCUUCAUGAGAAAAACAUGUGUUUUGAUGCAAAGCUUAGAGAACUCAACUUCCACAAACUUAGGAAAGCUGUCCAUAGCAGACUUUUGGGCUGGAAUAGGUCCCAAGUCUGCUUUGAGAUGAUAAACAGUGAUCUGGGAUGGCACAAAUUUCUGACUUCAGUGCCCUAGAAAUAAGCUAUAUCAAUAACUUACUCCUAAGUUCCUUCAAGAGUCCUAGCUUGCAAUCGAAAAAGACAGUGUGAUUAGUAAUAUUUCACACUUGUAUCAAACAGCCUGUGAUCUUUGUGCUUCAGAGAAAGCUUUGUGAAAGAUGGCAACAUCCAUCUUAACACUCAGCAGCAUGUGCAGAACUUAACUGAAAGGCACAAUGAAAAAUGAGACCUGAUAUUUACCAAGUUCCAGCAGGACAUGAAGGCGAUGAUGUAGAAAUGGAUAAGCUGAACACACACAGGCCAUGUGUAUUCAAAGUAUAUUCUCCUCUAAGAGGCUUAUACGGUUCAGCUAAACAUGGUUGAGGCAAUUGCCAUUUGAAACCUUUUCUAGAUCAUAGUCUUAUAAUG